GAGCCAAAGAAGGAGAGGUUUAUUGGAGGGUUGAGAUUGAGCUUCAAAGAACCAAUAGAAAAGAGCCCUCCCAUGUUCUUCAUUGACAUUGAUGUAACCUGAAAAGUGUGAAAUUGAUGGGUUUGAAGGUUGUCCUGGUAGAUCAAUUAUUCUAUCAGUUUCAUAACUUUCAACAUUUAUUUCAGAUGCUUUAAUGAACAAUGAAAUGGUAGUACUAGUAGUUAAAAGAAUGAAACAUAGGAUCUGGACUAGAAAGACAUUCAUUUCUCUAGCUAAAAUGAAUAAAUUUGGUUUUCUUUAAUUUGACUCAAGACCAAUGUAAAAGCAUUGACUACUUUUAUAGUGCCAAUAUGUGAGUGGAGGGGAGGAUAGCAUUUUUGGGAUUGUCAUGUCAGAAAAUGACAAGUGAGGAUUAAAAAAAAAAAAAACAUUUUUUUGUGAUCUUUGGGCGUGUACUUCUAGACUAAAACAUGAUUAUUUUUUUAAAGUUUUUUUUUUAUAGAUAAAUGUUAGUGGUUGGUUUGUUAAAUGGAAAGAAAAAUUGUUAGUUGCGGAGAUUGAAUCCUAAACCUUAUUCUAAAGAGAACUAUUUUUAACCUCCUCAAUGUUUUUCCUGCGUCUAGAUGGUUAAAUUCAAAAGAAAACUAAUGUUUUGUCCAUGCCUGAAUGGGCAAAUUUGGACGUGAUCAAUUUUGAGAAUAAUUGGAGAUGAAAAAAGAAGCUAUCUGAUCUUAAUAUUCCUUCAACAUCUCAACUCAUACAUACCGCCAAACUACACAUUCGGUGAAUGGGGUGGGCAAUGAAGAUUUGAAUUUGUUGGAGUGGGUCUUACCCAAUCAACACACAAAAACCUUAGCCCAUUAGGCCACACAACUUGUUUUGCCACUACACUAGAUGGUGCAGUGCACUAACAUUGUGCAUGUCAAUUUACUUUAUCACAAGACUGUCAUUAGUCUUUCUGUCACUCAUUGGAUUGAGGUAAUCUCUUAUCAAGAUUUACAUAUUAAAAUCCACUUGCACCUCUUUGGAAUUAUUCAUUUGUUUGUUUCUUACUGAAUUAUCCAAAAAGGACAAAAUUUUAUAUCAUGGGGUCAUUAUUUGAGUUGGGUAAUGUGUAGAAAUUAGAAAACACUAACCAAUAAGAAAAAGGAACAAAUUACAAGGUGACAUAAAAGUUGGUGAAAUUAUUUGAGAUGCAAAUUGAGUAGAGUUUGUUUGUUUGUUCAAUUCAAGCAUUUCUUUGUCCAAGUAAGUCCGUUUUUAUAUUAAGUAAAUAAAAUUCUGUUUUAAAUUUUAAUGUUAAUAAGUUGAAAUCAUAAUAUCAAAUAGUUAAAAUUACAAUUAAUACAAUAAUACACUUCAAUUGAUACAAAAAUAAAUAUUAAAUCAGCUUUUAUGAAGAAAAGAAUACUAGUUUAUCCCAAAGUUGAUGGAAUUAAGAUUAAAGUCAUGUUAACUUGCGCUCUAAGAAUACAUAUUUUAAGACAUGAGUUAACAUUUCUUGAGAUUAACCUUAAGAUUUAGGGUUAAUAGGUUUUUACCCCCUGUAAUAUAGGUCAUUUCUGGUUUUUUUUUUUUCAAGAAAUUUUCGUUUUUGUUUGGCCUAAUAGGGGGUUAAAUCAAAACAAAUUUUUUUUACAGAGGGUAAAUCAAAAAAAAAAAAUUACGGGAAAAACCGAAAAUGACUUAUAUUAUAGGGGGCAAAGAUAUUAACCCUAAGGGUGCGUUUGAUUUGCUAAAAAAUGAAGGACAUGACAGAACAACUCUAGUUGUCAAGUGUUUGAUUUGUAAAACUGUUUCAGGUACAUGACAAACUGAAGGCAAGGGACAGGACAAAAACUCAUAUUUUUGUCCCUCAUCAAACCACAACACAACUUUUUGUCCCACGUACAAGUUGUCUAAAAUACCAAAAUAACAUUUUGUCCCUCAAAAAUCGUAUAAAACAAAAAAUUAUUCAAUGCCAUAAAAAAUUUGUCCAGUGCUGUUCUGUCCAGUACUUAUUGUUUUGCAAACCAAACACACUCUAAGAUUUAUGAUUCCUAAAAGUUCAUAAUUGCUUUGACGAUGAAACCUAAACUAUAAUAUUUUGUCUACCGGUCUUAACUAUUUUGGAGACUCUAUUCUAAUCUUAAAAAUUGGUGUAUGUAGGAAUUUGGAGACCUUUAAACACGAUUAGUUGUCAAUUUUCAAUCUGAAUGUUAUACGCAUUCGUAUCAAAACAAAUAUGUUGCUUCGGCUCGGUGUUUAGUCUUUUACCAUCCCUUUGCAAGUUCAAUUCCAAGGUAUGUUAUUUUGAUUUUUAAGAUCAGUUUGUAAAACAUAAAAUUAAACAAAACAAUAUGUAACAAGACAAUCAAAUCUGCGAUAAUUUGUAACUUUCCAAGUUAUAAUCGUUCCACCAAUCCAAACAUGUAUUUUGGAACAAAAGAUUAGGUCUCAAAGUACUUUGUAUCUGGUUGCACUUGCUUAGGGCCAAUCCUGCUCGUAUUGUACGGAUUUAUUUAAAUUUUAUUUAUAAUAUUCCCUCCCUUCCAAAACAAUUAUCGGUUUAGUAUAUAAAAGGUGUUUCAUAUACUGCAUUUGAUAAAAUGUUGCUAAAACUAGUUAACAAUAAUUUUCAUCAUAAUUUCAUAAUUCGUUUCUAAUCUUAUGUACUUUUAAUUAUGGACACACAUUUUUUUCAAGAAAGCAAACUUAUAUCAUUUUCAAUUGCAUGCAUGAAGAAUACAAGAAGACAACUUAAAAAACUUGAGGAUUAUACAUGAAUUUAGCCACCCUUACUAACUUAUGGGUCACUACAUUUGUGUGACGUAGUAUAUAUAUAAUGCUUUUUUUUUACAAAGAAUGUGUAAUGCUUGAUGCUUUUCAUUAAGACACAAACAUGCAGAUUUCAUGGAUUGCUUUUUCAUUUAUUGAAUAAUAUUGAUACACCAGCAGGGUUACAUUCAUAUUAUAUAUUCAUAUGAUUUAAUAAAUCGGUAACUUGUGAUGAGUCUAAAAAUGCAGAGAAUUGAUGAUCAUGGAGGUGUAUUAGUAGUAGUAGGGAGAUGAUCUCCAGUUAGGAAAGAAUGAAUAAGAGAGAGAGCCUCAGUUGGUUUGUUGAGAGGCACUAAGUGACCAGCUCCUCUCACUGUCACAUAUGUCAAUCCUUCAUACUCCACUAUCCUUCCUCCAACCUGCAUUCCAUUUUCAUUUCCAUUGUUUUCCUCAUUCUCUAACAUAACUCAAUACAUUUACAUAUAUAUAAAAGGUAGAUUUUCUUUUGUAAAAAAUUAAGAAAAGAAUUUCUAAUAUUAAAUUGAAAAGUAAUUCAAGCUAGAACAAUAAAUUAAAAAAUAAGGGUUAGAAGGGUGCGUUUGAUUUGUUAAAAAAUGAAGGACAAGACAGAACAACUUCAGUUGUCCAGUGUUUGAUUUGUAAAACUGUUUCAGGGACAGAACAAACUGGAGGCAAGGGACAUGACAAAAACUGAAAUUUUUGUCUAUCACCAAACCACAGCACAACUUUUUGUCUCACGUACAAGUUGUCUAAAAUACCAAAAUAGCAUUUCGUCCCGCAAUAAAUUAUUUAAUAUCAUAAAAAUUUGUUCUGUGCUGUUAUGCCUUGUGUUGUGCUGUUCUGCAUUAUACUGUGCCGUCCAGUAUUUACUAUUUUGCAAACCAAACGCACCCACAAUUUGUUACCCGCUUAUCUUUCUUGUAAUUUUCUAUAUAUGUCAAAAUAACCAUUAAAAUGAAGAAGAAAAAAAACUAGAACGUAAAAGUGAAUUAGUGGACCUGAUUAUGUUGGUACCAAAUCCUCCAAGUAGACUUUAGAGGUAGUCCUAAAGCCUCAACACAAUAUCGUGUCCCUAUCACGGGUAAUCUGCCAUCUGCAUCUCCACUGUACAUAAAAUAAAUUACAAACUUAUACAUCAUAUAAGUAGUUUUGACAUUUUUACAUAUAUUAAAAAAAAAAAAUUAAUUUUGUAUUGAAACAAGAAAUUAUGGACGAUUUUACUGAAUUGUCACUCAUUAAUAACAUGAGAAAGAUAUACUAAAAUAAUAAAAAAAAUGAGAGUAAUAAAUAGUAAAUAGUACAAUAGAAAGAAUAUAUAUAUAUAUAUAAUUGGUAUAUUGAUAUUGUAAAAUGCCAUAAAAUAAUACAUGGAUGGACGAAAUAGAGGGUUACAUUUUAUUAAUUCAAUUUAAUUUAAUAAUAAUUCUCGUGAGUUUAACCCAAUUGGUAGAGAUAUUACAUAUUAUAUCUAGGGACCAGUGUUUGAACCCGGACACCCCACUUCUCCACAAUUAAAUUGUGUGAGCUUUAACCACUAAUCUGCUUGAAGAAAAAAAAUUAAAUAACAAUGCUUCACACAUCAAUCAAAAAGUUUAUUUUGGAAAGAGAAAAUUCUAUUAGAAGUUAGAAAGAAACAAAAAGAUCGAACAAUCAAAGAGUGAAUGCCCUUCCUUCAAAAAAAAAAAAAAAAAAAGAGUGAAUGACCCUUCCACCGAAAUCUAACAGUUUUAUGGAGCGACCACAUCUAUUAAAUUAAAAAGUAUGUAACCAUAAAGUCAUAUAUGGCAUUUACACUUUGUUUAAAAAAUACAUUUGGGGUCCAUAAUUGGGAUCCAUGUAAUGAUGACACUCGCAUAAUUUUUUUAUUUUAUAUAAUAAUAGAGUGAUAGUAGCACUUCUCUAAUUUGCACAAUACUUGUCCGGUGGCUAUGUAGUGCUUCUUUUUUUAGUUUAUAUUUGUUGUACACAUGUAGAUAUGUUUUCAUUAGAAAUCAUAUUAUGAUUUAUAAAAAAAUCUUAUUAUGAACACUUUUAAUGACAUGGCAAUUUAUAAUAAGUUUACAUUGUAACAAACGUUUAUAUUAUUAAAUAGGUGUUCAGGAUGAGUGUCACUUUAACGUAAGUUUUACAAAUUUCGUAGUAAAUGAAUGAGUGUAAAGUGUUACAAAAUUAUCCUCUUUUUUUAUCAAGUUUAUAAAAUUAUCCUUGUUAACUUUAGGAGUGUCGUUAAUCAUUGUCACAAAUGUCCUCGUGAACUUAGCUCAGUUGAUAAAAUCCGAUUUCAAAUCCCAACCACCAAAAAAAAAAUCAUUAUCACAAAUUUCGUAGUGAUGAGUAUAAUAAUGAAUUAAAAGUAAUGUACGCAGUACUAUAUUGAGGAUAAAGUUAAAAUAAAUAAAGAAAUCUUAACUUGAAAACACCAAACGACAAUCGAUUUUAUUUUCCUUCAAAAAAGACAAUCGAUUUUAUUUUAUUUUUAUAAAAUGACAUUCAUAUAAAAAGUAAAGUUGAGAGUGUAACCAAGAGAUACCUGUAAAUCCAUAUCUUAAGGCCACCCUUGAUGAGUUUAGUGUAGAUGGGUAGGACCGAAAAAACAGAGAUGUCGUAAGUAUUGAAUAUGGAAAUACUGAAAAACACAGGUGAAAAUUAAUAUUCAAUAUUCUAUAUAUAGGAUAAAAUAAAAUGAUGAAUUAAGGAAUCAAUCAAAUUGUAGUGCUUACUUGCAACCCUUCCAUUCUAUUUUACUGUUUCCUCUUUUAUUGUUUGCAUGAAUAGAUAACUGAACAUCUACCCUAUUAAAAAAUUCUUCUGCAUAUAUGGAAUAACAAGGGUCAUAGCCCCCAAAACUUCUCAUCCUCUUCAUUCUAUAACCAUUUUUCACCUGCAAGACCCAAAAUUAAACUACUUUUUGAUCAAUAUUCAAACUGGCAACUGCAUGCAUAUAUUAACCCUCUAUCAUUUAUAAUCUAUUGAUUUGUGACAUUAAUAUAUUUACCUUUUUAAGUGAUUCAGGGCCAUUUUUGGUUUCUGUGGAUGUACUAUUUAAACGACAUGCAGGGGCAUAAAUGUUGAAUAUGUCAAUUUCUGAAUAAUCAUGGAAGAGUUGGUCCAUGGCCUGAAAGCACUCAUUAGACCAUCGAAAUUGUUUAAAAUCACAAACUUGUUUUGCUUUCUCAUAUUGCUCAUCUGAUAUUACUGCAUGACUCCAUGCAUAUUCUACAAUGCCUUUAUAAUCAUAGUAAUCAUCAGUUUCUGGAUUCCCUACCUGAAAAUGUAUACAUAUAUAGUUCAUUUAGCCAAUGAAAUUACUUAGGGGAUGCAUAUUAUAAAAAUAAUGUGACUUUUACAUUCACAAACAGUGUAUUUUAGUUACAUAAUCUUGAUUGACGUGAAUUCCGGGAUUAAAUUACAUUAACUUAUCAGUGAUGCUAUUUCCAGUAGUUGAUUUUGGUUCUUUAUAUAUAGCAAAACAUGGGUUGAUGGAAAAUAGAAGAGGUGGCCGACAAAGUUACUUUAAACUAUCGUCAUAGCCUUGUGAGCUUCUUUGUCGAGAAGUAUAGCGUUUUCCUUCUUCACUUAAUUUUAAGCAUGCCCUUAUUCUCCUUAAUUUAAUUAUUCCUUCUUUUUUUUUUUGUUAAGCACGAUUUACUUACAAUAAAACCUUUAAGAUUAAUAAAUGGAUUUUUGCUUCUAUCUUUGUUUCUGUCAAAGAUUAACUCUGCAAGCUGAGGGAUAUAGUGACCUGAAAAAUAGUGAUAAUGAAAAUUUGGUUAUAAAUAUAUGUUUAUUCAAAAUACUUAUAACUAAAAGGUUAAAAUAAAAAUUAAAUAUGUUUUUAGUAGUAUAAAAUUUGAGAUCUUUCAAGUUUAGUUCCUAAAUUUUUUUUGACCAUUUCUAAUUUUUACCUUUUAUAAAAUCGAGUGUUUGCUGUCCUAACAAAGGACAAAAAUCACUGUUAUUAUAAAAGAUGGGAACUAAAAAUAUUGAUUUUUAUGAAAUGGUGAGGAUUAAGUUUAGGCAAAUUCUAUGGUACAUCCACUAUAUUUGAGUGUAUCGGUACACUCACUUUUGAAAUUCAUAGUUAAAUGAGUUGUUUUUUGAAGAAAAAAAAUAUUAUUUUUUUAUCAUUUAUAAUUAUAAUAACUAAAUCUUAUUCAUCAAAAGUGUCAACGAAAUAAUUUUUUAUUUUUUUAGAUUUUUAUCUCUCAUAAUUGAGAACAUUCAUUAUUUUUUAUGUAAUAAAAGUUACUAUGAUUCUUAUAAACAAUUAAAUGAUGUUUUUUCUUAUGAAAUGUUGUUCUAUAAAAUAUAAAUAUUGGCAAAUAGCUAUUUACUACAUAAAAAAUGAUCGUUCAUUUAUAAAAUUAAAAAACAGGAGUACCGAUACAUCUUAUUUUGUGAGUGUACCGUGGAAGUUUCUUAAGUUUAACUAAAACAGUUAUAUGCACUAAAAUAAAAUAAAAAUUAUAUUUUCUAUUAGAGACUACAACAAUAUUUAACCCAAAAAUAAACACUGACCAGCAUAGCUUUCUCCUGCUAAGAAAAAGUCCCUGGAUUUAAACUGUGGAAAUCUUUGUAGCCAAUUUACCAAGAAAUUGUAAGAAUCCUCGGCUGAUUCAUGCAGUUUGUAAUUAAAUAUGGUGACUUUAACAAAAUCAACAAAAUUAAAUUAUCUUAUCUUCUGCAAAGGAAACUCACCCACAAAAUGAUCCUCUAAAAUGGUGAGAUCAGAAGAGGUAUUGGUGUAAGAAAAACCAACUCCAAUGGGUGACUCCACAAAUAACAGAUUUGCUUCUGCAUAGGUUGAAAAAAUUACAAUAAAGCAGAUUAGGAUUAUUCUCUUUGUUAUGUUUGCAACAUUUAUUGGCACAUCAAUAAUAGUAUACUAACUUAGAUAGUCAUAUAUAUCAAACAAACAUAUAUUAUAUACUUCAUUGUCCAAAGAUGAAAAGAAAAUAUAAACCUUGACUCCAAGAGUAUGGGUUAAAUUUUAGUCCUUCACCAUUUUUGUUGACUAAAAGAGGUCCUAUCUCAACAACAGCACCACCUCCAAUUGAGGAGCAUCCAGGUCCUGACUCAAAGGCAAAAUGACAAAAAUGAAAAGUAGCAUCACUAAAUAAAUAUGACUAGAACUCUAUAACCAUAUACAUAGAAACUAUAGUAGUAGUAGUACUACUACUACUACUAAUAAUAAUAAUAAUUAGUUACAAAAAUGAAAUGAUGAAAGACCUCCAUUGAGCCAGAGAAGGAGAGGUUUAUUGGAGGGUUGAGAUUGAGCUUCAAAGAACCAAUAGAAAAGAGCCCUCCCAUGUUCUUCAUUGACAUUGAUGUAACCUGAAAAGUGUGAAAUUGAUGGGUUUGAAGGUUGUCCUGGUAGAUCAAUUAUUCUAUCAGUUUCAUAACUUUCAACAUUUAUUUCAGAUGCUUUAAUGAACAAUGAAAUGGUAGUACUAGUAGUUAAAAGAAUGAAACAUAGGAUCUGGACUAGAAAGACAUUCAUUUCUCUAGCUAAAAUGAAUAAAUUUGGUUUUCUUUAAUUUGACUCAAGACCAAUGUAAAAGCAUUGACUACUUUUAUAGUGCCAAUAUGUGAGUGGAGGGGAGGAUAGCAUUUUUGGGAUUGUCAUGUCAGAAAAUGACAAGUGAGGAUUAAAAAAAAAAAAAACAUUUUUUUGUGAUCUUUGGGCGUGUACUUCUAGACUAAAACAUGAUUAUUUUUUUAAAGUUUUUUUUUUAUAGAUAAAUGUUAGUGGUUGGUUUGUUAAAUGGAAAGAAAAAUUGUUAGUUGCGGAGAUUGAAUCCUAAACCUUAUUCUAAAGAGAACUAUUUUUAACCUCCUCAAUGUUUUUCCUGCGUCUAGAUGGUUAAAUUCAAAAGAAAACUAAUGUUUUGUCCAUGCCUGAAUGGGCAAAUUUGGACGUGAUCAAUUUUGAGAAUAAUUGGAGAUGAAAAAAGAAGCUAUCUGAUCUUAAUAUUCCUUCAACAUCUCAACUCAUACAUACCGCCAAACUACACAUUCGGUGAAUGGGGUGGGCAAUGAAGAUUUGAAUUUGUUGGAGUGGGUCUUACCCAAUCAACACACAAAAACCUUAGCCCAUUAGGCCACACAACUUGUUUUGCCACUACACUAGAUGGUGCAGUGCACUAACAUUGUGCAUGUCAAUUUACUUUAUCACAAGACUGUCAUUAGUCUUUCUGUCACUCAUUGGAUUGAGGUAAUCUCUUAUCAAGAUUUACAUAUUAAAAUCCACUUGCACCUCUUUGGAAUUAUUCAUUUGUUUGUUUCUUACUGAAUUAUCCAAAAAGGACAAAAUUUUAUAUCAUGGGGUCAUUAUUUGAGUUGGGUAAUGUGUAGAAAUUAGAAAACACUAACCAAUAAGAAAAAGGAACAAAUUACAAGGUGACAUAAAAGUUGGUGAAAUUAUUUGAGAUGCAAAUUGAGUAGAGUUUGUUUGUUUGUUCAAUUCAAGCAUUUCUUUGUCCAAGUAAGUCCGUUUUUAUAUUAAGUAAAUAAAAUUCUGUUUUAAAUUUUAAUGUUAAUAAGUUGAAAUCAUAAUAUCAAAUAGUUAAAAUUACAAUUAAUACAAUAAUACACUUCAAUUGAUACAAAAAUAAAUAUUAAAUCAGCUUUUAUGAAGAAAAGAAUACUAGUUUAUCCCAAAGUUGAUGGAAUUAAGAUUAAAGUCAUGUUAACUUGCGCUCUAAGAAUACAUAUUUUAAGACAUGAGUUAACAUUUCUUGAGAUUAACCUUAAGAUUUAGGGUUAAUAGGUUUUUACCCCCUGUAAUAUAGGUCAUUUCUGGUUUUUUUUUUUUCAAGAAAUUUUCGUUUUUGUUUGGCCUAAUAGGGGGUUAAAUCAAAACAAAUUUUUUUUACAGAGGGUAAAUCAAAAAAAAAAAAUUACGGGAAAAACCGAAAAUGACUUAUAUUAUAGGGGGCAAAGAUAUUAACCCUAAGGGUGCGUUUGAUUUGCUAAAAAAUGAAGGACAUGACAGAACAACUCUAGUUGUCAAGUGUUUGAUUUGUAAAACUGUUUCAGGUACAUGACAAACUGAAGGCAAGGGACAGGACAAAAACUCAUAUUUUUGUCCCUCAUCAAACCACAACACAACUUUUUGUCCCACGUACAAGUUGUCUAAAAUACCAAAAUAACAUUUUGUCCCUCAAAAAUCGUAUAAAACAAAAAAUUAUUCAAUGCCAUAAAAAAUUUGUCCAGUGCUGUUCUGUCCAGUACUUAUUGUUUUGCAAACCAAACACACUCUAAGAUUUAUGAUUCCUAAAAGUUCAUAAUUGCUUUGACGAUGAAACCUAAACUAUAAUAUUUUGUCUACCGGUCUUAACUAUUUUGGAGACUCUAUUCUAAUCUUAAAAAUUGGUGUAUGUAGGAAUUUGGAGACCUUUAAACACGAUUAGUUGUCAAUUUUCAAUCUGAAUGUUAUACGCAUUCGUAUCAAAACAAAUAUGUUGCUUCGGCUCGGUGUUUAGUCUUUUACCAUCCCUUUGCAAGUUCAAUUCCAAGGUAUGUUAUUUUGAUUUUUAAGAUCAGUUUGUAAAACAUAAAAUUAAACAAAACAAUAUGUAACAAGACAAUCAAAUCUGCGAUAAUUUGUAACUUUCCAAGUUAUAAUCGUUCCACCAAUCCAAACAUGUAUUUUGGAACAAAAGAUUAGGUCUCAAAGUACUUUGUAUCUGGUUGCACUUGCUUAGGGCCAAUCCUGCUCGUAUUGUACGGAUUUAUUUAAAUUUUAUUUAUAAUAUUCCCUCCCUUCCAAAACAAUUAUCGGUUUAGUAUAUAAAAGGUGUUUCAUAUACUGCAUUUGAUAAAAUGUUGCUAAAACUAGUUAACAAUAAUUUUCAUCAUAAUUUCAUAAUUCGUUUCUAAUCUUAUGUACUUUUAAUUAUGGACACACAUUUUUUUCAAGAAAGCAAACUUAUAUCAUUUUCAAUUGCAUGCAUGAAGAAUACAAGAAGACAACUUAAAAAACUUGAGGAUUAUACAUGAAUUUAGCCACCCUUACUAACUUAUGGGUCACUACAUUUGUGUGACGUAGUAUAUAUAUAAUGCUUUUUUUUUACAAAGAAUGUGUAAUGCUUGAUGCUUUUCAUUAAGACACAAACAUGCAGAUUUCAUGGAUUGCUUUUUCAUUUAUUGAAUAAUAUUGAUACACCAGCAGGGUUACAUUCAUAUUAUAUAUUCAUAUGAUUUAAUAAAUCGGUAACUUGUGAUGAGUCUAAAAAUGCAGAGAAUUGAUGAUCAUGGAGGUGUAUUAGUAGUAGUAGGGAGAUGAUCUCCAGUUAGGAAAGAAUGAAUAAGAGAGAGAGCCUCAGUUGGUUUGUUGNAGAAGGAGAGGUUUAUUGGAGGGUUGAGAUUGAGCUUCAAAGAACCAAUAGAAAAGAGCCCUCCCAUGAUCUUCAUUGACAUUGAUGUAACCUGAAAAGUGUGAAAUUGGUGGUGUUGAAGGUUGUCCUGGUAGAUCAAUUAUUCUAUCAGAUUCAUAGCUUUCAACAUUUAUUUCAGAUGCUUUAAUGAACAAUGAGGAAGUGGUAAUAGUUAAAAGAAAGAAACAUAGGAAUUGGAGGACAGACAGAAAAACAUCCAUUUUUCUAACUAAAAUGAAAUAAUUUGGAUCCAAAGCCAAUGUAAAUGUAUUGGCGACUUUUAUAGUGCUAAUAAGAGAGUGGGUGAGAUCACUUAGGAUUCUCAUGUCAGAAAAUGAGUUUUCCACCAAAAUCAUUUCAGUCUAUACAUUAAAAAAUGCAGUAAGCAAAGUUGUUAACAAAUAAAAUUGUACACUUUGUUGGAGUGUGCCUUACCCAAUCAUCACACAAAAACUUUAGCCCAUCAGGUAAGACAACUUGUUGGACCACAAUAGUCACUACAGAUGGUGUAGUGCAUUAGCACUGUGCAUGUCACUUUUCUUUAUCGCAGUCGACAUCAGUCUUUCUAUAUUUAUUACAAAUUAAAAUCCACUUGUACCUCUUUUGAAUUAUUCACUUUUGUUUCUUACUGAAUUCAUC
rnacentral:lncRNA from 1 species